ACCUAAACUGUAUUUAUCUAAACUUACUUUAAAGUGUAACAGAAAUAUAUUUGUCAAAUAUAGGACAGGUUUGUUGGACUUAAUGGUAAAUAGAGGCAGAAAAUGGUCCAUCCCAAAAUCUGAAAGAUCUUGUCCUUUAUGUAAUUCUUCAGUAGAAGAUGAACUACAUUUUACCCUUGACUGUCCAUUUUAUGAAGAUUUACGUUACAUGUAUAUCUCAGAACGUUAUCUGUCGGAACCACCACUGAUAGCUUUUACAAGUUUAUUAACAACUAAUUAUGAAUCCACCCUACGCAAUCUAGCUCUCUAUGUUAAAUAUGCAUUUAUUCGUCGUAACGAGCACUUACAGUUAACCAUGUCCUAAUGUAUAUAACUCGCUUGUAUAAGGGCCGGUGGCCUAAAAUACAAUAAACGAUUGUCUUGUCUUGAUAACACUACAUAUUUUGUCACCCAUUUCUG